rnacentral:rRNA from 1 species
UACAGAGGUCUCAAGCGUUGUUCGGAUUCAUUGGGCGUAAAGGGUGCGCAGGCGGCGCGGUAAGUCGGGUGUGAAAUCUCGGAGCUUAACUCCGAAACUGCAUUCGAUACUGCCGUGCUUGAGGACUGGAGAGGAGACUGGAAUUUACGGUGUAGCGGUGAAAUGCGUAGAUAUCGUAAGGAAGACCAGUGGCGAAGGCGGGUCUCUAGACAGUUCCUGACGCUGAGGCACGAAGGUCAGGGGAGCAAACGGG